GGCCAUUUCUAGUUUGAGAUAAAUAAAUUGAGCUUGAUAAUUUCUGUACCAUUUGUCCUUGCAAAAAUAGGGAAAAUAAGAACUUAAAACUGUUUUGUGUUAUCUAGUUUACAUAUGUCAAAAUAGUUCCUUAUGUUUUCCAAAUCUUUAGCAUAACAAACCAAAAAAAAUGCUAUAGUAUAUAUAAACAAGAGGCUCUCAAGAGCCUGAAUCGCUCACCUUAAUUUUUUUGGUUAAAUCUCCCAUCAAUGAUUAUUUUGGCUUUUCAAUUUACUUAAAUGUUCUUUGAAUUAUCCUAUUUUCUU
rnacentral:lncRNA from 1 species